rnacentral:lncRNA from 1 species
UAACAUGGUGAUGGCUGGCAGAAGGAUCCCCAAGAGGAACAGACAAAUUAGGAUUCCCAUGAUUAACAGACACACAUUCAUCACCAGUGGAGAUAUGAGCAGCUGCAGGUUUCCUUCCCUUGUUGUAAUUUAUGUUUUGAGGAAACCCAUGGAUCUUGUAGCACUUAUCAAUUAAGUGACUAGAUUUCUUGCAAUAUCUGCAAAAUAAGGGCCCUCUGCUUUGCUCAAAAUUAAUUCUGGGUCUGAAAAAAGGGGGUCUAGGCAUUGUGGCCUGGCUAGACCCAACUGAGUGCUUGUUUGCAUGAGCAUUAAAAGACAUAGAGUCUGGACUGAUUUGAG